CAGUCGCCGCGGUAAUACGUAUGUCACAAGCGUUAUCCGGAUUUAUUGGGCGUAAAGCGCGUCUAGGUGGUUAUGUAAGUCUGAUGUGAAAAUGCAGAGCUCAACUCUGUAUUGCGUUGGAAACUGUGUAACUAGAGUACUGGAGAGGUAAGCGGAACUACAAGUGUAGAGGUGAAAUUCGUAGAUAUUUGUAGGAAUGCCGAUGGGGAAGCCAGCUUACUGGACAGAUACUGACGCUGAAGCGCGAAAGCGUGGGUAGCAAACAGGAUUAGAUACCCCUGUAGUCCCUGUCUCUUAUACA
rnacentral:rRNA from 1 species